rnacentral:rRNA from 1 species
AACGAACGCUGGCGGCAGGCCUAACACAUGCAAGUCGAACGCCGUAGCAAUACGGAGUGGCAGACGGGUGAGUAACGCGUGGGAACAUACCCUCCGGUUCGGAAUAACUCAGGGAAACUUGAGCUAAUACCGGAUACGUCCAAGGUUUUAAUCGGCCUCGGAGAAAGAUUUAUCGCUGGAGGAUUGGCCCGCGUCUGAUUAGCUUGUUGGUGAGGUAAUGGCUCACCAAGGCGACGAUCAGUAGCUGGUCUGAGAGGAUGAUCAGCCACAUUGGGACUGAGACACGGCCCAAACUCCUACGGGAGGCAGCAGUGGGGAAUAUUGGACAAUGGGCGAAAGCCUGAUCCAGCCAUGCCGCGUGAGUGAUGAAGGCCUUAGGGUUGUAAAGCUCUUUUACCCGGGAAGAUAAUGACGGUACCGGGAG